ACCUGAGGUGCUCCCGUGAUACAAGACUAGGUGGGCCGUUCGAUCUGGACUGGUGGUACAGGAUCGAGAGGGUCCCUUGGCAUUGCAAUGUAUGCAGAAAACACCUUGGGUUAUUCCCUAAUUCAGCGACCAAGUGCAUAUCCAUCUUCUCUGUUCGCUUCUUCCCUGAUACAAUUCGCACUGCCGCCGCCUAGGGCAUGUCUCCUGCCGCCGCCGCCGCCGUCGCUGCCUAGGGCAUGCCCCCAUCCACUGUUGCUAGCACAAAUCCAGUGCAACUCGUGCGCGUGCCGAUUCCUUGGCUCAGACCUGGUCAGUUUCAUAGGAGCCGAGAUGGACCUUCCCCCGCCGUCGCUGGAGCCAAACGCGUCGUGGGAGCCGGAGACCCUCGGCAAGGACGAUCAGGACUAGAUGCCCGCGCGCUGCGGGAGUCAGUGUCGUUCGGUCGAUUCCUAUCCGAGUCACUCGAAUGGGAUACGAUGGGCCGAUGGGGCAUGUCUUGCCGGCACCGAUGGCUACCAUAUUGCAUGACCAAUCGCUGCCGGCAGCCGGGCUCAAUGAAGAUGUACAGGUCAAUUUCUCGGUGCCGACCACAACGGUCGGAGCUCACUCUGCCUCCAAUUGUAGUGAUGCAUGCAUUGGCGAUUCUGGAGCAGGCGUGAGUUGUAGUCCGUGCUUGCCUGCUGCACAUUCCUCAGCAAAUAUUGAAGGAGCUGCACUGCAUUUGGUUGUUCAUCCUCCAAUUUCAUAGUAUCGUGUAUUGCUCUCCACAAUGUAGUCCUUGAAGUCUGCUAUGAUGUUCCUAAAAUUAUGAACUGAAAGCAGCUGUUGCAACUGUAUGACAACAAACAAAAGAAGCGAAAAAGUUAUAGAAGUACAACUACAUCUAAUGUUAGUUGUGGUUAUGGAAAUUUCAUGUCUCGCCACAUGCAAUACAAGCAGAUCGAUGUUUAAGUUAGUUCAGAGCAGAUAUAUGCAUCAAUAUUUUAAUCUUUGCAGAGAAUUAGAAGAAUGCUUGCUGUGUGGACAAAAGUUCUUGUUCAGUCACUCGGUUACAACAUAUUGCUAAACAUGAAAUCUAGCAGUGUUUAAAUGUUGUCUGUUUCUUCCUCUCUUAAUAUGUCUAGCUGAAUUAUACACAUAAUCUUUCUUAUAGAGUGUAAUAUAGAAUCUUUCUUACAUAUAGUAUAGUUGAAAAUCACAUGUACAGAAUAGCGCAAGUUCGGACCAAAAUGUAUUAUUAGGCGAGUAAGUGAUUAGACUAUUUCGAAGUAUUGUCUAUAGAUUGAGUGAUUCACUAAAUUCAUACCAGACGAGGCCCAAGAAUGUUUGACUAACAAAAAUCCCAGUUGAAUUCUAUGUCAGGUUGGGACAACUGAGUACUAGAAAUCUAUGCAGCUGUAAUAAACUAGCUUACUGACCAUUUAUGUUGAGCUGAGAUUUAACAAAUGUUAUGGGUAAAUACACUAUUACUCAAAGAGGAAGCAUGGUUCACACACGAUAACAAAUGUAAAAAGGAAAAAAAAGAGGUGAAUAUAACUCGAUUGCUUGUGAGCAUGUCAUGGUCUCGUAUUUCAACAAAAGGUUUUUUUACAUGGUAUUAUAGGUCAAGAAGCUUCAAAAUAUAUCCGGGGGAUAAGAAGGAGCACCAGUCUCGAAGGUGUGCUUUUGUGCCUACCACAGGUUGGUGUAGGAAUAUGAACUCAUCAAGUGAUCUGUAGCAAUAUUGUUUCAUUCAGCUAUGUUAAUUUGUGAACUAUAUCAUCUUGUGAACUAUAUUAAGGUCAUGUUGAUUGCAAGACAGAUGCUAGUGGUUAAAACCGCUCAAUUUUCUUGAAGGUAUAUGUUGAUGUUCCUUUGAUAUGAAUUUUUACGAGAUGAUAUGCAAGUAUGCAGAUACACUGUUUUUGCUAGGGACAUCUUAACUUUUCAUGUAACCAGCUCGUACUAAUUUGGACAUGUUUCAGAAUGCAGGAUAAAACCAUUGCUUAUCUAGGUGACUCUUUAGGGAGGCAGAUGUUCCAAUAGAUGAUGUGCAUGCUUUAAACAUCCAAGAAACAUGGAAAACGACCAAAUGGCUGGGUCUACCGAUUCCGGAGCAGAAACAUCUUCAUCCUUUUGGUGUUCUUGCCGUGUAAUUAGGGGAAUCGUCUGUGUUAGCAGUUGACAAGAGUUGUAAUAUAUGCCUUUUAGGUUUAGGUGUAGCACCCUAUUUAGUUUAGCAAAUCUGAACUAUAACUGUUGUUACAUAUAUGUGCAAUUUCAUGGCAAGCGUUGCAUUGUGUUUUGUCAA